GAUGAACGCUGGCGGCGUGCCUAAUACAUGCAAGUCGAGCGAACAGACGAGGAGCUUGCUCCUCUGACGUUAGCGGCGGACGGGUGAGUAACACGUGGAUAACCUACCUAUAAGACUGGGAUAACUUCGGGAAACCGGAGCUAAUACCGGAUAAUAUAUUGAACCGCAUGGUUCAAUAGUGAAAGACGGUUUUGCUGUCACUUAUAGAUGGAUCCGCGCCGCAUUAGCUAGUUGGUAAGGUAACGGCUUACCAAGGCAACGAUGCGUAGCCGACCUGAGAGGGUGAUCGGCCACACUGGAACUGAGACACGGUCCAGACUCCUACGGGAGGCAGCAGUAGGGAAUCUUCCGCAAUGGGCGAAAGCCUGACAGAGCAACGCCGCGUGAGUGAUGAAGGCCUUCGGAUCGUAAAACUCUGUUAUUAGGGAAGAACAAAUGUGUAAGUAACUAUGCACGUCUUGACGGUACCUAAUCAGAAAGCCACGGCUAACUACGUG
rnacentral:rRNA from 1 species